UGAGGAAUUUUCCGCAAUGGGCGCAAGCCUGACGGAGCGACGCCGCGUGAGGGAUGAAGGCUUUCGGGUUGUAAACCUCUUUUGUUUGGGAAAAAGGUCUUCGUGCUCAUACCACGGAGAUUUGAUGGUACUAAGCGAAUAAGCCCCGGCUAACUACGUGCCAGCAGCCGCGGUAAUACGUAGGGGGCGAGCGUUGUCCGGAAUUACUGGGCGUAAAGGGCGUGUAGGCUGUUGGGUAAGUCUGGUGUGAAAUGCUACGGCUCAACCGUGGCACUGCGCUGGAAACUGCCUGACUGGAGUGCAGGAGGGGUCACUGGAAUCCCCGGUGUAACGGUGAAAUGUGUAGAUAUCGGGGGGAACACCUGUGGCGAAGGCGGGUGACUGGCCUGCAACUGACGCU
rnacentral:rRNA from 1 species